rnacentral:rRNA from 1 species
CUUGGUCAUUUAGAGGAAGUAAAAAGUCGUAACAAAGGUUCUCCGUAGGUGAACCUGCGGAGGGAUCAUUACACAAUAUGAAAGCGGGCUGGCAUCCUUCGGGGUUACAGCCUUGCUGAAUUAUUCACCCGUGUCUUUUGCGUACUUCUUGUUUCCUUGGUGGGUUCGCCCACCAUAGGACAAACCAUAAACCUUUUGUAAUUGCAAUCAGCGUCAGUAAAAAAAUUAAUAAUUACAACUUUUAACAACGGAUCUCUUGGUUCUGGCAUCGAUGAAGAACGCAGCGAAAUGCGAUAAGUAGUGUGAAUUGCAGAAUUCAGUGAAUCAUCGAAUCUUUGAACGCACAUUGCGCCCUUUGGUAUUCCAAAGGGCAUGCCUGUUCGAGCGUCAUUUGUACCCUCAAGCUUUGCUUGGUGUUGGGCGUCUUGUCUCCAGUUCGCUGGAGACUCGCCUUAAAGUAAUUGGCAGCCGGCCUACUGGUUUCGGAGCGCAGCACAAGUCGCGCUCUCUUCCAGCCAAGGUCAGCAUCCACAAAGCCUUUUUUCAACUUUUGACCUCGGAUCAGGUAGGGAUACCCGCUGAACUUAAGCAUAUCAAUAAGCGGAGGA